AAGGAAGGAAGGCAGGCAGGCAAGGAAGAGGAAGUGGAGAGAGAAGAGGUGAAGGUACAGGGACCUGUGGAUGUAUCCGUCAGGAUCCAGCUCAGCUUUUCCAGAAUUUAAGUGAUGACAGAUUAUCAGUAGACCCCAGGGAUUAACCUCACAUGCUUUCAUUUUGCAUUUGAACUGGGCUACAAAGUCUCCUCAAGGAAGAACCCAGCUAGUUUGUGAUCCCCACCCGGAGCACAGUGGGUCAGUGUCAAGGAACCUGCCCUACUUUCUCCACAAGGGUCACCCUAAGUCACAGAGCACUUCCAUCAUUUCCGGUACAAAGACAAAGACCUCCCAACAAGGUCUUUUCCUGUUGCUGCCUCAGGCUCUGGGCUGAGAACCAGGAUUGCAUUUCCAAGAGCAGGUCUGGUCCCACUGGAUAGGUUUCUUCCAGCCCGGCUCCUCUUGGGCUGAAGACCUGUGACUCGGAGAGAGAAUGGCGUGCCUCACACUGCACCAACACUGCUAAACCUAAGCCAGGAGGACUCCAGAGAAGGCCUCCAUUCCAGAGACAGAGAGCAGGCAGUGAUUAGCCCGUGGCAAUGUGGAAAUCCAGCCAAUCACGUAUCUCCAGUUCUCUGCUGGAGCAAAGUCCUGCCCUCUGUGCCUCCUGCCUCUGUCUCUUCACAAGGAACCCCUGUUCGCAGCUAGGAGCCUCCUGGAUGGCUUCCCCACCCAGGGGAAGGGUCCAAAGGCCUCUUCCAUUUUGUAUUGAAUUCAUCUUUUCAGCCCAAGCUAAUAUAAUUCCUCUUACAGCUUUGUGGAUUCCACAUUUCCCCACCAGUGAUCCUUCUGUUAGACAAGAGUCACAUUUCUUUUCCGGUCAGAUCUUUCUCCACUUUCCGUAACUGGGAAGGGUGCGUGCGGUGCUCUUAAAAUUCUUAACUACCUAUAUCUAGCUGAGAAAGUCUAUAAGGCGUGUCUUUCUGGCUCUUAGGUAUACCCUUAAAUCUUUCAGAGACUGGAAAGAAAGUCUUACUGCCACAUGCAUGAAGUCUGCCCCCGGAGGCCCUGCUGUACGGAGAUUUGAUCCUGGUCCUGAAGCCAUUCUGACUGUGACGCCUCCCCCAACUCCAGUACUGGGAUUGAACCCAGGGCCUUCACACUGAGCUAAGGUCCGGCCAGUGUCACUCUGUCUGGCGAUGGGGCUCGAAGUCGUGAUUCUCCUCCUUAGCCUCCAGUGUGCUGGGAUUCUAGGUGAUGUCAUCACACUCUGCUGACUGUGACACUUUUGCUGAGCGUGGGGAUGAGGAAGAAGUUCAUUCUCACACCCAGAGGCCUGACUCUUUCUGCUUCCUCUCAGCUCUGCACCCUGAUAGCUCUUUCCUGAGCUCACCUCUCCUUACAGCUUCUCACAGACAGCUGAGGAACCCAGCAGCACUGUCUUCUGCCUGACCCCUGAGUUUGCUGGGUACUUCCCAGUCCCCAUGUUAUCACAGUUUUCUGGAUCAGAAGCUCGGGCGGAGCGCAACUGGGUGACACGGUGUUUUCCCUCCGCCUAGAGAACUUGGUGUUAUGACGUAGCUAUCAAAGGCGCUCCCAGCCUCCCCGUGUGUUCGGAGGCGGGGCUUGUGGAAGGUGCACUGGCUCCUGAGGCGCUGCACGCAUGAGUGGAUUCACCCGGCGAUGAGUCCACAGCCUCAUGUGCUGUGAGGAGUGGGCAUCAGGGAAGGGGCCUGCUAGGGUGUGUUCUCCUCGCUGGCCCCUUCCUCUCUGCUGCUCUUGCUUUUUCUCUGCUUCCAGGCUGCCAUAGGUCGAGCUUUCCUCUGCUGUACCUUCCCACCCUACUGUUUCUGCCUUGGAGCCAGCAGACCGUGGGCUGAGACUCUGUGGCUUCGAGCCCAAUAAGCUUCUCUUCCUCCACGUUGCGUGUGUCAGGUACUUCGGCCCAGCCAAGGUGGCUGUUACGCCUGGCGCCCCCCAGAUGGUAGAUGGGCUGACCUCGAGGGGUCUCCUCGGCUUUAUCCUCACAGCCUGGCACUCGGUGGGUCACGGUGCAGCUGCUGGGACCAAAGGCCCACAGCUGAAGGGUGGAGAGGGUUAAUGUGUUCAUGGCCUCAGGCCAUGGUCGGCUGGCCUCCAGGUAGAGACGUGGAGGUGGAGGUGGAAGGCGUGGGGAGCAGAGCAGUUCUGUUCUGCGGCCGGGAGGCAGAGCCGCAGAGCGCGGGGGCAGAGGGGAGGGACCGGAAGUCAGCUGGAGUGGACACCUCCGAGACCCCGGACCUGCUCAGAAGUGGCAUCCCGUCUGCGGACCCCAGCGCUAACCACGCUGAUCGGAGGCCUGUUAGCGCCUCCGCCGCCCACCCUGCCGCCCGCAGCCUCCACGCGGGCCGGCAGGAGGUCCCCUGACGCCCGCGGUAGCAGCCUGGACCCACACUGACGCCAUCGCCUCCUUCUGAACGAAGUUUCUGUCAGAUGGAAGCCGGCUUGCCCCUAGCAGCCUCCCCGGUUCCUCCCUCUACCCCUCCACACCCGCAGUCCAGUCCGGAUGUGCCCUCUGCUGCCCCCGCAGGCCCUUAGGCCACUGCCCCGCCCCUCCCGCGCCGCUGUGCAGAGAAGGUCUGACGCCCACCUGCACCUGCUCUCCUCCCCUGGACCAGGAGCUGCCACGGGCAGGGCCGGGGCACGAGCGCUGGGGUCUCCGGCUGCGGCCAGCUCGCUCCCAAGAGCUCCCCGGUCCGGUCCGAGGAGAGCCAACCACUGACUGAAGUGGGAGGGAAAGAGGGCAGAGACCCGCCCGCCGGGCCACCCUUCGGGAUUUUGCCAAGGUCCGCAUGUGCUCAGCCGCCAUGGAGCUGUCUGCUCUCACUCCACAGAGGCUGGCCACAGAGUCCGCCCUCCGAGGGGCGCUGUCUGCCACCAACUUCCGAAGGCCAGGAGCCCACACUUGGGGCUCUGAGGGACAGGAAAGGCACCCUGCUUGCUUGGGCUUUUGUUCACACCUGCAUUUUCCCUGAGGACCGGGAACAGAAAUAGGGAGGACAUAACCCUGGAAGUGCAGACCCCUUAGCCUGAGAGAGAAACACAAGGUGGCCCCUGUCCAACGCCCUGCGAGACCCUCACUGUCCCAGCCUGCAGAGGACCCUGCCGGGACAUCCAAAGGUGAGCGCCCCAGAAAAGCAUCCAGGACGGCAAAGAUUCAGUCUGGAAACUUCGACCAAACUCGGUUUUUCCUGAGUGAUGAAAGCCUGAUGCUGAGCAGAGGGCACACCCGGGGAGAUGCCAUUUAAUGAGUUAUUUGGCAAGGGCUAUUUCUGAAAUUAAUUUUCAAUCACUUCUCAUUAUGUUUAAAUGGCAGUUAUUAAACCACAGGCUUGGGGAAGUGCUUGGGUUAGGGAAUGUUCCUCAGCUGGCCUCAGAACCUACACUGCCAGGUGAGUGGGCCUGACCAGGGCUGGCCAGGGACAUCUGGCAAGGGACAAAGGGAGGGCCCUGGUGAGGCCCAGGCCCAGGCAGGCAGCUCCAAGGCUUGCAGUACUAGAGAGGGGGAGAUUCCCGCAUAUCCCUGAUAAUGCAGCCUCCUCAUUUAGUCUAGUAAACCUGAAAAGCUGGCGAAGUAGAGGACAGUGGCUUUGGAAAGGGUUUCACCUAGCCCUAGGGACAGCGUGGGGCAAGGACAUGUGUCAAGGCUGGAGUAACUUUCCAACAGCCUUAGAGCCACGAGCCAUGGGACCAGCCACGGCGUCAGAAAGCAGCGCUGUCUCGUCUUCCCUGGAGGCAGAUUGGAGGAAAGCUUCCCCGGGCUUCUGAGGAGGGCACCCUUGUGCGGCUGGCUGGUCUUUGGAAGGUGUCUGCCCCGGGCCUGUCCCCGACAUUUGGAGCAGCACAGGACUCUGACUUACACAGGCCUUGGCCCGCCUGGCAUGAGCUGGAGCAGAUCCAGGAGAGACCUUCUGGUACGUGAGCCUCUCUGGAAUCCCAGGCCUCCGGAGCUGGCCUGGCCUGUGAGCCUGCCUCUUGUCUGUCCCCACACCCAUCCCACGUCAGUGUUGGAGAGGUUUCUAACUGGUUUUUUCUUGAUCAUUGUACAAUAUCA